UUUAUAAAGCUGUGUUCUUGUGUGUUCGGCCUCUGUUAAAAUGGCGAAGAGAGAUGUGUCUGUCCACUCUCCUUUUGUGCUCUCAAAUAUUUCCACCCCAUCGCAGCAAAGAUGACUGGAGCAAGUCACUUAAUGUGGCCGAGCUGGUCAGGACAAAAGCUGGUACACCUGAGGAAUGGUUAACACUGCAUUACAUGGUUAUCCCUCAACACCGGGGAUGAGAGCUGAUUCCAAAGUGAUGGCUCUCCAAAGGGAUGGUGGAAGAGCUGGUUUGAGGAUCAAAAUCUGGUCUCUACUACUACAAGUUCACUGGGUUCAAAAGAUGGUUUGAGGAUCAAAAUCUGGUCUCUACUACAAGGUCACUGGGUCCUGAAGCCGGUCUGAGGAUCAAAAUCUGGCCUCUACUAAAAGUUCACUGGGUUCAAAAGAUGGUUUGAGGAUCAAAAUCUGGUCUCUACUACAAGGUCACUGGGUCCUGAAGCCGGUCUGAGGAUCAAAAUCUGGCCUCUACUAAAAGUUCACUGGGUUCAAAAGAUGGUUUGAGGAUCAAAAUCUGGUCUCUACUAUAAGGUCACUGGGUCCUGAAGCCGGUCUGAGGAGCAAAAUGUGGUCUCUACUAAAACAAGGUCGCUGGGUCCUAAAGCCGGUUUGUUUGAGGAGUCAAAUGAGCAAGUGAUCCUGCUGUUGACUGACCUCUUGUGGUCUUAUUUAUUCUGCAGGUAACCCGAUGGUUGUAACUCCAUUAAAGAACUUCUGAGCCGAGAGGAGAAACCUAAACCAAAUGACUAUUUGAAAUGUACACUGAAGAUGGGCCUACAGAGUCACCAAAUGUACAUUAAUAAAGAGAAAUAAAAACUAACAAAUUGUUAAA